AACAAAGCUCACGUCUGCUUUCCAGGUUGAGAUCAACCAAGGUGGAGUCCACGGAGGUUCGCACCCACGAGAGCCCAGAAGGCAGCUGCUUCCCUUGGAUGCCUAGGACGGCCAAAAACUGGGACCAGUCUGCCAAACAGAAGGUGCUUAAGUGGCAGCCAGGAAAUAUGGACUGAGGAGGAAGAAGAUGGAAGGACAGACAGACAACCCAAAACAGCAGUUGGGCAUCCUUACCUCAGGAAGCAGCAGAGUGCAGUGGCUGGCCUGGAGACACUCGGUACCAGCUGCUCGUAGGCCAGGGUCUCUCGUCUUCUUACUUCUAUUAGUGAAAGAAAAAUCAAGGUGAGAAUCUUCGCUGGCAACUGCAUCAAACUGCAGGGAAGCCCUGUUCUCCCCUUAUGAGGGCAAGGGAGAGACUGAACACCAGGGCUCAGUGAACUAGUGUUACGCUAUGUUCUAGAGUGAGUAGACUGACUGACUUUCCUGCUGUAGAGAACUUCAUAAACCUGAGGCUAAGUUUCUCUCUGUUCUCCAUUUUUGAAUAGUUCUAUAUCUAUUAAGCCAUUAAUCUCAAAUUUAAAAAUUAGGAUGUAAUUAAAUCCUUUGAGAAAAGCAUUAGACUUAUGCGAUCAUUUCAUUAAGGACAAAGUAGUUUUAUUCUAGUUUAGGGUAAAUAAUUCUUUAAUCUCUGUAAACAGUCUUAUAUAUUUUUUCUGAGAAAACUCCAUAUGUAACAGCCUACUUAGCACAUUUACCUUACUAAAUGGCUGUGGAGUAAAGCAAUAAGGCACAAACAUACUUGACCUCAAUGCAUAUAUGCCCCAUUUGGCCAGUUAUGAUAAAUACAAAAAGAGCGAAAAGGAGGCAGGAGUUUGGGGCCAGCCCUAGUUACUUGAGGAGUAAAAGGCAAGCUUGGGCUGUAAGAGACCCUGUCACACACACACACAGAAAAGUCAAGUCUAUCAUCUAUGGUUAUUUGGAAACAGCAAUUCUUUCAUGUAUGGAAUUAUCAGAGUUUUAAAUAGCUUCACCGUGUUCCAUUAAGAUAUUCACAUGAAUUACACAAUUUACCAAAAGGAAACUUUCUAAGAAUGCUAAAUACAAUGCCAUCUAACUUCAGAGGUACAGUGGGGUUUUUUGUUUGGAUGUCAAUUUCGUAAAGGAGAUUUGAAUAUGGCUGCUGCCAGUAGCCAGAAUUACGUAAGAUGCUGUGUGAUUUGUGCACAUGGUAGAAGUGACAGCCCUUUCCUUCUUCCCUUUACUAUACGGCUAUAGUAUACUAUACUAUAAUCAGAGGCUACAAGGAGCCAGUCAGUAUCUGAAGACUCUGUAACAAAGGCGAGAACCAGCAGACUAAUGAAAGACAUUCUGCUGCCUGCGCAGGAACAGAUAAUGAGGUAGCCAUGGAGACACAGCCGCAAGAGCAGCAAUGUCCCGUCCCUCCAUGGGCACGAGGGGGAGCACCAGGGCAAUGCAAAGGCAGCUGAGCAGACUCCUGGUUGGCAUGGGAACACACGGUUCCUUAGAUACUUGGAAGAUGUCUGGAGGGUUUACAGAACUCUCAGCCAAUGAAGUUCCAGCCGAGGCAGGACUUGACAAAUGAGGCAGGACUCUGAAGAGUCUAUUGGAUUAGAAAGGGGAAACCUGGGAAAUGCCCAGUGUCCUUUCAAGUCUGUCCUUGAUGUUCUGGGGACAGGAAGACAAGGUGGGUGGCUUGUACAUUGAAAGAUACCAAAGUGCUGCUAAAUGUCAAAAGCCUCCUUGAGACUGACAGGCUGUCCUGAGACAGAAGGCAGGAUAAUAUCCUUCUGUUUUACAGAUGGGAAAGGAUUCAGACAAGUCAAUGGCCUUAGAGCUCCAAAGUGAGGAGCCAGUCACGUGCUUGGACUAAAACUAGAGUCCGUAGCUAGGCCUGGAACCCUGAAUUCUUUCAGUUGAAAAGCAGACUGUAACAUCUUCCAAAAUGUGCAGAGGAGGCAAAAGUACACAAGCAGCUCCGUUAUAAAAAAGAAGAGCUCGCAGGCAGGCACACAGGCCUUUGCCAGCUCUCCAUCUUAAGUAGACAGUCCACUCCAAACAGAAAGGUUUGAUAGCACAAGUUAUUUCAUGGAGCUCCAUUUCCCACAGGCCAGGCAGGCACUUACCCUAUAGUUAUGAAAUCUCCUUUGCUGACAGUAUCAGGUUCAAUGCAAAUGUUCAUAAAGUCUUCUUUGCCCUAGAAACAUCAUUAAUGUCUUUCAUUAAUAUGACUGUUAAGUCUUGGAAAUUGGGCUAAUGCAGCUGUCACCCACAGGGGCCUGUGUUCUUUAAAAUGCUCUAGAUGCAAACAUGACAGGCAACCAGAGCAGAGAAUUGCAACCUAUUUGUUCCCCAAUACUAGCUGUAAACUUUGUGCGUCUAUCCAUAGACAGCUCUGAACGACUGAGCUACAAGGAAGCGCUGUGGAAAGUCAUGCUUCCUGUGCGCCCCUCAGUCAGUCACUAGUCAUUAGCUACACCACAAGCCUAGGUUCGUGAAGCAAGCCCAACACUUCUGGAGGCGUUCUUGGAGGAUUUCAAACCACGUAGGCCCAGGAGAAGACACACGGUCCUCUGAGAGCCGUUGACUGAGUUUCAAAUGCACCACCAAAGUACAGCUGGGGCUCUCAAGUAGGAAUUACAAACACAAUGUUUUGACAUAAUACUCACAUUUAGUUCAACUACCUACUGGGUGCCCACUUCACUGUAGGGAGUGCAGGGAGUAGACAGAACAAUAAAACUGUAUAUUUCUGAAAACAGUAGAAAAUGGGCACACUAGAAGUACAUCAGGACACUGGUGGCAGUGACAUCUUCAAUAUUUCUUUGGUUUGCCUGUGUGUGCCAUAUACUGUAUGUGUUCACGACACCAUGGAGGUCAGAAGAGGGUGUUGGAUCCUCUGGGACUAGAACUAAAUGGCUGUCAGUUGCUGUGUUGGUGCUGGGAACCAAACCUGGGUCUUCUGAAACAGGAGAAAGUGACUGCGAAGCCAGCCCUCCAGCCCCGGUGACUACAUUUUAAAGAGAGGACGGAUGAGAAGGUGACUCUGAUCAGAGUCCAGAGGCUUCUCAUUUACGUAUAUCAGUGAAAAUGCAAAUAAGCUCACAGGCAUCCCUGGAUCCCCGGCUCAGCCCUCCAGGCAGUUUUCUUUUACUUGCCCCUGGUAAGCCCCAUCCCCACGCAGGAGGUUGGAGCAGACACAGGGCGCAGCUCAUCUGCGUGCCUUCUCUCUGGGAUCCCUGCCCUAUGCUGUUUGUGUCUUUCCAGUGUUGGCCAACAGUUACUUCAUAGAUUUUGUUCAGCGUUUAAGGUACAAAGGUAAGGCCAUUGCUUGUUCUGUAUCUUGGCCAAUAGUCUCAUAUCCAUUCAAAAAUCAACUCAUAUUGACAGAUUCAAUGAGAAUCUUACUGUCUUAUGGGACGAUGAAAAGACACUUGAUAGAAUUUAAUGCCUAAGACAUUUAAAGUUAAUAAAACUGUUGGCAAACCUAGCAAGUUUUCUUUAUUAGAAACUUCCUUAUCUAAUAAAAGGCAUCCAAAAAAAUUAUAUCAAAUUCAAGAAUAAAGCAGUGGCUCCCAUAAGCAUUACUUCUGUCCAGCUGAAGUCCUCACAGAGAAGGGAGGAAAGACAGAGGGUUGUAAAGAAUGUGUUUAAAAGAAAGAAACAAAACUGGCACUGUGUGCUGUUGAUAUAGCAAAAUCUAUAGCAAAUCUAAAGGAACCCAUAGGCAAACAUAACAGGAAUUUAAUUAGGAUGCUGAUUCAUCAUCAACAUGCGUGUGCGUGCACACACACAAUCAAUUACACGACCAUUUCUUUAGUCAGCGAGAGAACGGAGUUUUAAGAGAUAUAUUGAUAAUAGCAUCAAAAGUAAGAUGACCAGGAGUAUAUCCAGCAAUAAGCAAAUGCUAUAGAGAAAACAAUAAAACUUUGUUGGGAGAUCUUGAAGACCUCAGUAAAUGAAGAGAUACAUCACACUCACAUGCCAGAAGGGUCAAUACUGUAGAAAUGCCAUUUCUCCUCAGAUUGAUCUAUAUGUGCAAUGAAACCUCAUAAAACUUUUAUGAGGAAUCUGAUAAACAUUCUAAAAUAUUUGUAGAAAUCGUGGGGUGGAAGAGCUUGCUGCAAUUCCAGAGGAGCCCAGGUCUGUUCCGGCGCCCACACUGGGUGGUUCUCAGCCAUGGCGCCAGGGAAGAGAUGGGUGGCACUUCAAUAAACUGGUCUGACUACUGGAAUGAAUAAACAAACUGGAGCCUUACCUCAUCAUUCACAAUUAUAGGUGACAGUUUUCCUUUUUUGAAUAAAAAUGGAACCAACCACCUCAUAAAAAUCAUUUUAUGUUAAUUUUUCAUUCAGCAAUAUAUGUUGAGCAUAUUGCCACAUUAGUAAAUAUAAAGAUUAUAUAUUACUUUAAAUAAAAGAAAAAUAUUCAUUUUAUCAAUCUAUUUAAUGCAUGUUGCUGUUAAGGACUAAAUAUGCUUAUUUAAGAGACAUCGAAUUUCUGACAUUUUACACUCCUAAAGAUGUUUUUAUACUAUGGAAAUAUCAUUUUAAUGAUAAGUAAAUAUUUCAAGCUAUUACGUGACAGCUACAAUGUCUGAAUAGUUUAUUGUAUUUGCUUUGCAAAGUGGUGAGGAAAAAAGGAAACAUAAUGAAUGUGCUCCACUAGCAAUAAGAAGUACGGUGUCACCCGCCUUUGUCAUUAGCACAAAGAUAAAAGCAUCCGGCAGCUUGAGUGUGGCGCAUCUAGAGCUGAAAUCACAUGCUCGCCGAGCUCAAUGCAUUCACAGGGAUUCAGAGAACAGAAGGAGGGAAAAGAACACAAGCAAAAUGCGGGGAAUACAUUGCUACCAAAGACUAAGAACACAGAAAAUGUGUAAUGGAAAUUUUAUCUUUUCAAAACUCUCUCUGAACAAAGCACUUUCCAGCCUCAUCAACCCACGGUGGUUUCAGAGUUCUGUUUAAGGGAAGACUAUGUACACUAGGAAUUUACUGUUCACACCCACCAGCUAAACAACUACACUUGCCAGGACAAGGGAUAUGCACAUGCAUGGGUUCUAGACAGUCCAUAUACAUUACCAAAACUAGUGUUACACCUUAUAGCCUCAUGAAGGCUAAGAGUUCUGUUCCCAUUCACAUCACCCACAUGGCAAUCCAAAAGUAACUUUCAGUCGGCAUUGAACACUUGUUCAUGUAUCUAUAUGUAUCUCUCUCUCUACACCCCACCACACACACACACACUGAACACUUGUUCAUGUAUCUCUCUCUCUACACCCCACCACACACACACACACUGAACACUUGUUCAUGUAUCUCUACACCUACACCC